ACAUAGCAAGUCGAACGCCCCGCAAGGGGAGUGGCAGACGGGUGAGUAACGCGUGGGAACAUACCCUUUCCUGCGGAAUAGCUCCGGGAAACUGGAAUUAAUACCGCAUACGCCCUACGGGGGAAAGAUUUAUCGGGGAAGGAUUGGCCCGCGUUGGAUUAGCUAGUUGGUGGGGUAAAGGCCUACCAAGGCGACGAUCCAUAGCUGGUCUGAGAGGAUGAUCAGCCACAUUGGGACUGAGACACGGCCCAAACUCCUACGGGAGGCAGCAGUGGGGAAUAUUGGACAAUGGGCGCAAGCCUGAUCCAGCCAUGCCGCGUGAGUGAUGAAGGCCUUAGGGUUGUAAAGCUCUUUCACCGGAGAAGAUAAUGACGGUAUCCGGAGAAGAAGCCCCGGCUAACUUCGUGCCAGCAGCCGCGGUAAUACGAAGGGGGCUAGCGUUGUUCGGAAUUACUGGGCGUAAAGCGCACGUAGGCGGAUAUUUAAGUCAGGGGUGAAAUCCCAGAGCUCAACUCUGGAACUGCCUUUGAUACUGGGUAUCUUG
rnacentral:rRNA from 1 species